AUUGAACGCUGGCGGCAUGCCUUACACAUGCAAGUCGAACGGCAGCACGGGUGCUUGCACCUGGUGGCGAGUGGCGAACGGGUGAGUAAUACAUCGGAACAUGUCCUGUAGUGGGGGAUAGCCCGGCGAAAGCCGGAUUAAUACCGCAUACGAUCCACGGAUGAAAGCGGGGGACCUUCGUGCCUCGCGCUAUAGGGUUGGCCGAUGGCUGAUUAGCUAGUUGGUGGGGUAAAGGCCUACCAAGGCGACGAUCAGUAGCUGGUCUGAGAGGACGACCAGCCACACUGGGACUGAGAAACGGCCCAGACUCCUACGGGAGGCAGCAGUGGGGAAUUUUGGACAAUGGGCGAAAGCCUGAUCCAGCAAUGCCGCGUGUGUGAAGAAGGCCUUCGGGUUGUAAAGCACUUUUGUCCGGAAAGAAAUCCUUGACUCUAAUACAGUCGGGGGAUGACGGUACCGGAAGAAUAAGCACCGGCUAACUACGUG
rnacentral:rRNA from 1 species